rnacentral:rRNA from 1 species
GACGAACGCUGGCGGCGUGCCUAAUACAUGCAAGUAGAACGCUGAAGGAGGAGCUUGCUUCUCUGGAUGAGUUGCGAACGGGUGAGUAACGCGUAGGUAACCUGCCUGGUAGCGGGGGAUAACUAUUGGAAACGAUAGCUAAUACCGCAUAACAGUAGAUGUUGCAUGACAUUUGCUUAAAAGGUGCAAUUGCAUCACUACCAGAUGGACCUGCGUUGUAUUAGCUAGUUGGUGGGGUAACGGCUCACCAAGGCGACGAUACAUAGCCGACCUGAGAGGGUAAUCGGCCACACUGGGACUGAGACACGGCCCAGACUCCUACGGGAGGCAGCAGUAGGGAACCUUCGGCAAUGGACGGAAGUCUGACCGAGCAACGCCGCGUGAGUGAAGAAGGUUUUCGGAUCGUAAAGCUCUGUUGUAAGAGAAGAACGGGUGUGAGAGUGGAAAGUUCACACUGUGAC